rnacentral:rRNA from 1 species
UACGAAGGGGGCGAGCGUUGCUCGGAAUCACUGGGCGUAAAGGGUGCGUAGGCGGUUCUUUAAGUCCGGGGUGAAAUCCUGGAGCUCAACUCCAGAACUGCCUUUGAUACUGAAGAUCUUGAGUUCGGGAGAGGUGAGUGGAACUGCGAGUGUAGAGGUGAAAUUCGUAGAUAUUCGCAAGAACACCAGUGGCGAAGGCGGCUCACUGGCCCGAUACUGACGCUGAGGCACGAAAGCGUGGGGAGCAAACAGG